rnacentral:rRNA from 1 species
CAGCAGCCGCGGUAAUACGGAGGGAGAUAGCGUUGUUCGGAAUUACUGGGCGUAAAGCGCACGUAGGCGGUUUAUCAAGUCAGAGGUGAAAGCCCGGGGCUCAACCCCGGAACUGCCUUUGAAACUAGUAGACUUGAAUCUUGGAGAGGUCAGUGGAAUUCCGAGUGUAGAGGUGAAAUUCGUAGAUAUUCGGAAGAACACCAGUGGCGAAGGCGACUGACUGGACAAGUAUUGACGCUGAGGUGCGAAAGCGUGGGGAGCAAACAGGAUUAGAUACCCCUGUAGUCCCUGUCUCUUAUAC